rnacentral:rRNA from 1 species
UACGAAGGGGGCUAGCGUUGCUCGGAAUCACUGGGCGUAAAGCGCACGUAGGCGGAUCUUUAAGUCAGGGGUGAAAUCCCGAGGCUCAACCUCGGAACUGCCUUUGAUACUGGGGAUCUCGAGUCCGGGAGAGGUGAGUGGAACUGCGAGUGUAGAGGUGAAAUUCGUAGAUAUUCGCAAGAACACCAGUGGCGAAGGCGGCUCACUGGCCCGGAACGUGACGCUGAGGUGCGAAAGCGUGGGGAGCAAACAGG